rnacentral:tRNA from 1 species
GUGCCCAUAGCUCAAUUGGUUAGAGCGCCGGUCUGUGGAACCGGAGGUUACGGGUUCAAUUCCCGUUGGGCACCCCG